rnacentral:snRNA from 1 species
GGAUGUGAGGGUGAUCUGGCUGCGAAAUCUGUCACCCCAUUGAUCGCCAGGGUUGAUUCGGCUGAUCUGGCUGGCUAGGCCAGUGUCUCCUUCCUCCCUCAAUGCUCCACGUGUGUCCCUCCCGAGGCUGCACGCUGACAAUGGAGGACUGGUCUUUGGUCAAGGAUAUACGAGUAGCUGUGCUCCCCUGCUAGAAUCUCCAAACAAGCUCUCAAUUCCCAGCACUGCAUAAAACCAGGAGUGGUCUUGCAUACCUGUACUCUUAGCACUCAGGAG